rnacentral:rRNA from 1 species
AGACCCGAAACCCGGUGAUCUAGCCAUGGGCAGGUUGAAGGUUGGGUAACACUAACUGGAGGACCGAACCGACUAAUGUUGAAAAAUUAGCGGAUGACUUGUGGCUGGGGGUGAAAGGCCAAUCAAACCGGGAGAUAGCUGGUUCUCCCCGAAAGCUAUUUAGGUAGCGCCUCGUGAAUUCAUCUCCGGGGGUAGAGCACUGUUUCGGCAAGGGGGUCAUCCCGACUUACCAACCCGAUGCAAACUGCGAAUACCGGAGAAUGUUAUCACGGGAGACACACGGCGGGUGCUAACGUCCGUCGUGAAGAGGGAAACAACCCAGACCGCCAGCUAAGGUCCCAAAGUCAUGGUUAAGUGGGAAACGAUGUGGGAAGGCCCAGACAGCCAGGAUGUUGGCUUAGAAGCAGCCAUCAUUUAAAGAAAGCGUAAUAGCUCACUGGUCGAGUCGGCCUGCGCGGAAGAUGUAACGGGGCUAAACCAUGCACCGAAGCUGCGGCAGCGACACUGUGUGUUGUUGGGUAGGGGAGCGUUCUGUAAGCCUGUGAAGGUGUGCUGUGAGGCAUGCUGGAGGUAUCAGAAGUGCGAAU